UACGGAGGGUGCAAGCGUUAAUCGGAAUGACUGGGCGUAAAGGGUGCGUAGGUGGUUGAAUAAGUUAUAGGUGAAAUCAUAGGGCUCAACCUUGUGCUGAAUUAUAAUACUGUUUAACUAGAGUGUAGGAGAGGGUAGUGGAAUUUCCGGUGUAGCGGUGAAAUGCGUAGAGAUCGGAAGGAACACCAGUUGCGAAGGCGACUACCUGGCCAUAGACUGACACUGAGGCACGAAAGCGUGGGUAGCAAACAGG
rnacentral:rRNA from 1 species